rnacentral:misc_RNA from 1 species
UGAUGGCAUAGUCCAGCUAAACUUCUCAUCGGACGGAAUAUCCUGCGCUAGUCCGAAACGACGCUGUUUCAACCCCGGAACUUACAAAUAUCUAAUCCAGAGGACCAAACCAAGGAUUCAAAAUCGGAAGAUGCGAUACUCGACCUCUUUCUUCAAACGAAAAUCAGUUGGGAUGCUUAAGCUACUUCUCACUCUGAAAACAUUGCGACUUGUGCCUCUCUCUCAUAGGGUUUAGCUUUCCCGUCUCUAAUGUCUGCACCUUCUCCGGCCCCCUUCGGUACCUACCCUCAACCACCACUCCUCCCACCUUCAUCUCACGCGCCACCAACAACGCCACUACCACUUUCUUCGCCAAGCGCCGCCCAUGGCUCGAGCUCAUCCAAUUCUCCUCCUUCACGCGUCCUUACUCCUUCGGCGAAGCAAUCGCACGCAUUAAGCUCAACCUUUUCUACUUUCGCGUCAAUUAUACGAUGAUCAUCCUCUUUAUUCUCUUUCUCAGCCUUCUGUGGCAUCCAUUGUCCAUGAUUGUCUUCUUAAUCGUCUUCGUCGCCUGGUUUUUCCUCUACUUUUUCCGCGACGAGCCCCUUGUUAUUCUCCACCGCACGAUUGAUGAUCGUGUGGUGCUAGGCGUGCUCGCGGUUGUCACUAUUGU